rnacentral:tRNA from 1 species
UCUCUGGUGGUCUAGUGGCUAAGACCAUGCGCUCCCAAUGCAGGGGGCCUGGGUUCGAUCCCUGGUCAGGGAA